rnacentral:rRNA from 1 species
AACGAACGCUGGCGGCAGGCUUAACACAUGCAAGUCGAGCGCCCCGCAAGGGGAGCGGCAGACGGGUGAGUAACGCGUGGGAAUCUACCCAUCUCUACGGAAUAACGCAUGGAAACGUGUGCUAAUACCGUAUACGUCCUUCGGGAGAAAGAUUUAUCGGAGAUGGAUGAGCCCGCGUUGGAUUAGCUAGUUGGUGGGGUAAAGGCCUACCAAGGCGACGAUCCAUAGCUGGUCUGAGAGGAUGAUCAGCCACACUGGGACUGAGGCACGGCCCAGACUCCUACGGGAGGCAGCAGUGGGGAAUAUUGGACAAUGGGCGCAAGCCUGAUCCAGCCAUGCCGCGUGAGUGAUGAGGGCCCUAGGGUUGUAAAGCUCUUUCACCGGUGAAGAUAAUGACGGUAACCGGAGAAGAAGCCCCGGCUAACUUCGUGCCAGCCGCCGCAGUAAGAC